UGAACGCUAGCUACAGGCUUAACACAUGCAAGUCGAGGGGCAGCAUGGUCUUAGCUUGCUAAGGCCGAUGGCGACCGGCGCACGGGUGAGUAACACGUAUCCAACCUGCCGUCUACUCUUGGACAGCCUUCUGAAAGGAAGAUUAAUACAAGAUGGCAUCAUGAGUCCGCAUGUUCACAUGAUUAAAGGUAUUCCGGUAGACGAUGGGGAUGCGUUCCAUUAGAUAGUAGGCGGGGUAACGGCCCACCUAGUCUUCGAUGGAUAGGGGUUCUGAGAGGAAGGUCCCCCACAUUGGAACUGAGACACGGUCCAAACUCCUACGGGAGGCAGCAGUGAGGAAUAUUGGUCAAUGGGCGAGAGCCUGAACCAGCCAAGUAGCGUGAAGGAUGACUGCCCUAUGGGUUGUAAACUUCUUUUAUAAAGGAAUAAAGUCGGGUAUGGAUACCCGUUUGCAUGUACUUUAUGAAUAAGGAUCGGCUAACUCCGUGCCAGCAGCCGCGGUAAUACGGAGGAUCCGAGCGUUAUCCGGAUUUAUUGGGUUUAAAGGGAGCGUAGAUGGAUGUUUAAGUCAGUUGUGAAAGUUUGCGGCUCAACCGUAAAAUUGCAGUUGAUACUGGAUAUCUUGAGUGCAGUUGAGGCAGGCGGAAUUCGUGGUGUAGCGGUGAAAUGCUUAGAUAUCACGAAGAACUCCGAUUGCGAAGGCAGCCUGCUAAGCUGCAACUGACAUUGAGGCUCGAAAGUGUGGGUAUCAAACAGGAUUAGAUACCCUGGUAGUCCACACGGUAAACGAUGAAUACUCGCUGUUUGCGAUAUACUGCAAGCGGCCAAGCGAAAGCGUUAAGUAUUCCACCUGGGGAGUACGCCGGCAACGGUGAAGCUCAAAGGAAUUGACGGGGGCCCGCACAAGCGGAGGAACAUGUGGUUUAAUUCGAUGAUACGCGAGGAACCUUACCCGGGCUUAAAUUGCAGAUGAAUUACGGUGAAAGCCGUAAGCCGCAAGGCAUCUGUGAAGGUGCUGCAUGGUUGUCGUCAGCUCGUGCCGUGAGGUGUCGGCUUAAGUGCCAUAACGAGCGCAACCCUUGUUGUCAGUUACUAACAGGUUCCGCUGAGGACUCUGACAAGACUGCCAUCGUAAGAUGUGAGGAAGGUGGGGAUGACGUCAAAUCAGCACGGCCCUUACGUCCGGGGCUACACACGUGUUACAAUGGGGGGUACAGAGGGCCGCUACCACGCGAGUGGAUGCCAAUCCCCAAAACCUCUCUCAGUUCGGACUGGAGUCUGCAACCCGACUCCACGAAGCUGGAUUCGCUAGUAAUCGCGCAUCAGCCACGGCGCGGUGAAUACGUUCCCGGGCCUUGUACACACCGCCCGUCAAGCCAUGGGAGCCGGGGGUACCUGAAGUGCGUAACCGCGAGGAGCGCCCUAGGGUAAAACUGGUGAC
rnacentral:rRNA from 1 species